rnacentral:rRNA from 1 species
CAUGGCUCAGAUUGAACGCUGGCGGCAUGCCUUACACAUGCAAGUCGAACGGCAGCGCGGGCUUCGGCCUGGCGGCGAGUGGCGAACGGGUGAGUAAUACAUCGGAACGUGCCCUGUUGUGGGGGAUAACUAGUCGAAAGAUUAGCUAAUACCGCAUACGACCUGAGGGUGAAAGCGGGGGACCGUAAGGCCUCGCGCAAUAGGAGCGGCCGAUGUCUGAUUAGCUAGUUGGUGGGGUAAAGGCCUACCAAGGCGACGAUCAGUAGCUGGUCUGAGAGGACGAUCAGCCACACUGGGACUGAGACACGGCCCAGACUCCUACGGGAGGCAGCAGUGGGGAAUUUUGGACAAUGGGGGCAACCCUGAUCCAGCAAUGCCGCGUGUGUGAAGAAGGCCUUCGGGUUGUAAAGCACUUUUGUCCGGAAAGAAAUCGCGCUGGCUAAUACCUGGCGUGGAUGACGGUACCGGAAGAAUAAGCACCGGCUAACUACGUGCCAGCAGCCGCGGUAAUACGUAGGGUGCGAGCGUUAAUCGGAAUUACUGGGCGUAAAGCGUGCGUAGGUGGUUUGUUAAGUCUGAUGUGAAAGCCCUGGGCUCAACCUGGGAACUGCAUUGGAAACUGGCUGACUAGAGUGCGGUAGAGGGGGUGUGGGAAUUCCCGGUGUAGCAGUGAAAUGCGUAGAUAUCGGGGAGGAACAUCUGUGGCGAAGGGCGACACUCUGGGACCAGCACUGACACUGAGGCACGAAAGCGUGGGGAGCAAACAGGGAUUAGAUACCUGGUAGCCCACGCCCUAAAACGAUGCGAACUGGAAUGUUGGGGGCCAACUUGGGCCCCUCAGUAUCGAAGCUAACGGCGUUUAAGGUUCGNCGCCCUGGGAAGUAACGGUUCGCAAGAACUGAAACUCAAAGGGAUUGACGGGGGGC